CAGCACCUCAAGUGGUCAGGAUGAUUUUUGGGCCUAAAGCAUCCGUAGCCGGCUCUGUAAGUUUUCGGUUAAAUCUGUACGCUCAACGUACAGGCUGCCGGGAAUACUGCAGAGCUAGGGAGUGGGAGAGGUAGACGGUACUCGGUAGGAAGGGGUAAAAUCCUUUGAUCUAUUGAUGACCACCUGUGGCGAAGGCGGUCUACCAGAACACGUCCGACGGUGAGGGAUGAAAGCUGGGGGAGCAAACCGGAUUAGAUACCCGAGUAGUCC
rnacentral:rRNA from 1 species